rnacentral:tRNA from 1 species
AUUUAAAUAGCUUAUAGAAUUAUAGAGCAUGAUAUUGAAGAUAUUAAGGAGAUAGAAUUAUCUUUAAAUA